UACGUAGGGUGCGAGCGUUGUCCGGAAUUAUUGGGCGUAAAGAGCUCGUAGGCGGUUUGUUGCGUCGGCCGUGAAAACCUGCAGCUUAACUGUGGGCCUGCGGCCGAUACGGGCAGACUUGAGUUCGGUAGGGGAGACUGGAAUUCCUGGUGUAGCGGUGAAAUGCGCAGAUAUCAGGAGGAACACCGGUGGCGAAGGCGGUUCUCUGGGCCUUACCUGACGCUGAGGAGCGAAAGCGUGGGGAGCGAACAGG
rnacentral:rRNA from 1 species